UUUCAGCUACAUGUCUAUUUUUUAUUCAAUAUAUUAAAUAUAUUAAUCAGAAAAGUCACAUACUAUAAAUCCAGGAAAAUACACAAAUAUAAAUGUCAGAAUCUGUCAUUUGUCUUCUUCCUAGAGUAAGUUUCUGUACAUGUGGAAAAGAGGGCGAGGAGAGAGAGCAGGUGCAAGGAGGCGGGAAAGGGCUCGCCCAGGCUGGUGGGGGCCGCCGCUCCCUCCCGAACCCCCUCUCCCAACGCAGCCUCUUCCUUCCUGUAUUUACAGCAGCAUUCGGCUUAUUUACAGCACAGCGGUGUGUGUUAAAAACGGUUUAUCUUACAAAAACAUGAAGGCCGGGGCUGGGCUAGGGGGUAAGACAAAUAGUAGGGGUCACCCCCGUGAGUGCAUCCCCCUCCCCCAGGGCGUCAGCUCCCUGCCAACCACCCAGAGCGAGUGGGGAGGCUGGCCAGUCUGCAGCUCAAGGCCAGGCCAGGGUGGGGGUGCUCCGAGGGUCCGUGGGCUAAAGGCACGUGGGGUGGCGUAGGAGGGUGCACGCACGGUGCACGCGUGUUCCUGGGCUGGGGUCAGAAGGGCAGCGUGUCCAUAAAGAUCUUGUCGACGAUAGGUGGAGGGGGCACCAGGUCCUCCAGCUUGAGGUAGAAGAUGCGUUGCAGGCCCUGGGUGCACAGGGUCCGAAGCUCGGGCAGCUUGCCCAGCAGGCGUGACAGGCAGCUGGCUGGCUGGGGCUCCCCCGCCACGGCCGAGACGUGCUCCUUCAG
rnacentral:lncRNA from 1 species